rnacentral:tRNA from 1 species
GCGCCAUUGGUGAAGUGGUUAACACAUCAGGUUGUGGUCCUGACAUUCGAGGGUUCGAUCCCCUUAUGGCGCCCCA